AUUGAACGCUGGCGGCAGGCCUAACACAUGCAAGUCGAGCGGCUGAAGAGAGAUUGCUCCUGGAUUCAGCGGCGGACGGGUGGGUAAGGCCUAGGAAUCUGCCUGGUAGUGGGGGAUAACGUGAGGAAACGGGCGCUCAUACCCCAUAAGUCCAGACGGCGAAAGGGGGAGAUCUUCGGACCUCACGACAUCAGAUGAGCCUAGGUGGGAUUAGCUGGUUGGGGGGGUAACGGCCUACAAGGCGACGAUCCGUAGCUGGUCUGAGAGGAUGAUCAGUCACACUGGAACUGAGACACGGUCCAGACUCCUACGGGAGGCAGCAGUGGGGAAUAUUGGACAAUGGGCGCAAGCCUGAUCCAGCCAUGCCGCGUGUGUGAAGAAGGUCUUCGGAUUGUAAAGCACUUUAGGUGGGGAGGAAGGGCAGUAAGUUAAUACCUUGCUGUUUUGACGGUACCAACAGAAUAAGCACCGGCUAACUUCGUG
rnacentral:rRNA from 1 species